rnacentral:rRNA from 1 species
UAACGUUCCCGGGCCUUGUACACACCGCCCGUCACACCAUGGGAGUCGAUUGCUCCAGAAGUCAUCCCACCAAGGGGUGCCCAAGGAGUGGUCGGUAACUGGGGUG